rnacentral:tRNA from 2 species
GCGGCCGUAGCUCAGUUGGUAGAGCGUCAGCUUCCCAAGCUGAAUGUCGAGAGUUCGAGUCUCUUCGGCCGCUCCA